UACGUAGGGUGCGAGCGUUAAUCGGAAUUACUGGGCGUAAAGCGUGCGCAGGCGGUUGGUUAAGUCUGAUGUGAAAGCCCCGAGCUCAACUUGGGAAUGGCAUUGGAAACUGGCUGGCUAGAGUGUGGCAGAGGGGGGGUGGAAUUCCGCGUGUAGCAGUGAAAUGCGUAGAGAUGCGGAGGAACACCGAUGGCGAAGGCAGCCCCCUGGGCUGACACUGACGCUCAGGCACGAAAGCGUGGGGAGCAAACAGG
rnacentral:rRNA from 1 species